GUGAAUCAUCAAAUUUUUGAACGCAAAUUGCACUCUCUUCGGAGAGUAUGCCUGUUUGAGGGUCAGUAUUAAUAAAAAUCGGUGUGUUGCCUCUUUGUGACGCUCCGGAGUUUGGGUCAUCUUAAUAUCCUUUAGGUUUAAGAAGCUUAAAAUUUACUUUUUUUGCCCAUUUUAUAUGUACCUAAAUUCUUUUUUUAUUUGUCUUUCUUUAUGCCUCAAAUCCUAAUAGAUUCGACCAUU
rnacentral:misc_RNA from 1 species